AUUGAACGCUGGCGGCAUGCCUUACACAUGCAAGUCGAACGGUAACAGGUCUUCGGAUGCUGACGAGUGGCGAACGAGUGAGUAAUACAUCGGAACGUGCCCGAUCGUGGGGGAUAACGAAGCGAAAGCGUUGCUAAUACCGCAUAAGAUCUACGGAUGAAAGCAGGGGACCGCAAGGCCUUGCGUGAACGGAGCGGCCGAUGGCAGAUUAGGUAGUUGGGGGGAUAAAAGCUUACCAAGCCGACGAUCUGUAGCUGGUCUGAGAGGACGAUCAGCCACACUGGGACUGAGACACGGCCCAGACUCCUACGGGAGGCAGCAGUGGGGAAUUUUGGACAAUGGGCGAAAGCCUGAUCCAGCCAUGCCGCGUGCAGGAUGAAGGCCUUCGGGUUGUAAACUGCUUUUGUACGGAACGAAAAGACUCUUUCUAAUAAAGAGGGUCCAUGACGGUACCGUAAGAAUAAGCACCGGCUAACUACGUGCCAGCCGCCGCCGUAA
rnacentral:rRNA from 1 species